rnacentral:rRNA from 1 species
AGCGAACGCUGGCGGCAGGCCUAACACAUGCAAGUCGAGCGGGCACCGCAAGGUGUCAGCGGCAGACGGGAGAGUAACACGUGGGAACGUGCCCUUUGGUUCGGAACAACUCCGGGAAACUGGAGCUAAUACCGGAUAAGCCCUUACGGGGAAGAUUAUCGCCAAAGGAGCGGCCCGCGUCCGAUUAGCUAGUUGGUGAGGUAAUGGCUCACCAAGGCGACGAUCGGUAGCUGGCUAAGAGGAUGAUCA